rnacentral:rRNA from 1 species
GACGAACGCUGGCGGCGUGCUUAACACAUGCAAGUCGAACGGAAGGGCCCUGCUUUUGUGGGGUGCUCGAGUGGCGAACGGGUGAGUAACACGUGAGUAACCUGCCCUUGACUUUGGGAUAACUUCAGGAAACUGGGGCUAAUACCGGAUAGGAGCUCCUGCUGCAUGGUGGGGGUUGGAAAGUUUCGGCGGUUGGGGAUGGACUCGCGGCUUAUCAGCUUGUUGGUGGGGCAGUGGCUUACCAAGGCUUUGACGGGUAGCCGGCCUGAGAGGGUGACCGGCCACAUUGGGACUGAGAUACGGCCCAGACUCCUACGGGAGGCAGCAGUGGGGAAUAUUGCACAAUGGGCGGAAGCCUGAUGCAGCAACGCCGCGUGCGGGAUGACGGCCUUCGGGUUGUAAACCGCUUUCGCCUGUGACGAAGCGUGAGUGACGGUAAUGGGUAAAGAAGCACCGGCUAACUACGUG